GACGUAGGGCGCGAGCGUUGUCCGGAUUAUUGGCGUAAAGAGCUCGUAGGCGGCUGUCGCGUCGACUGUGAAACCGAGGCUCAACUUCGGGCUUGCAGUCGAUACGGGCAGGCUAGAGUUCGGUAGGGAGACUGGAAUCCUGGUGUAGCGGUGAAAUGCGCAGAUAUCAUUUGGAACGCCAAUGGUGAAAACAGGUAGCUGGGAGUGUGCUGACGCUGAGACACGAAAGCCAGGGAGCAAACGGG
rnacentral:rRNA from 1 species